GUUUCGCAAACGCUACACGAAAAACGAGCCCCUUGAAAACCGCGUUUUGCUCACGGAGUGUUUAAAAAAGAAAUAGAACCGUAUUAUUGUACAGCAUAAAACAGUUGUUGAGUAACGAUUUUCGCUAUUAAAAAGUGCAACGUUACAAUGGCGAAUUAGUGUUGUCGCAGCAGUUAUAGCAUUAUAGCGACCCAAGCAGCAGGCCGAUCAAGGCACAAUUGGCAUAGGUGACACAGCGCUGUAUCUAUCGAGGAGGAGAUUAUAAUGAGGGAAAUAGGAAAGCGCGUAUGCGCCACCUAUCGUCACUAGCCAAAGUCUAGAGCCCAGCCAAGUUCAAUCGGUGGGGGAAGGCCAAUCCAAAACUGUUUUCUUUUACGAUUAUAUACUAGCUAUAUACUAUACUUAUGGCCUGGUGCUUCUACACGCUUGAUUCCGCGUGUCCUUUUCUCCGUGCAGGUAAUUUAUUUCGACGGCGCGAGGUCGGGAGCAUAUACAAAUUCAGAUAACACACUCGGGUUUCAAUUCCCGCGACUGCAGCUUCACGCGCGUUUUCACUUCUUCUAUAUAUCGCCGCGUGAAGAAGAAACUCGCGCCAGGUGACUUUUACAUUAGCUCGCGGAAAAGAAAUGCAUUGUCCCACUUUGAGUGGGGGUUGAUAGGAGCAUUCAAAAUAUCGUUCAGCGGCGUCGGGCAUAAAUAAGCCCGCAAAAGGAGGAGGGCGAAAAACAAGUCCUAAGUGCAUAAAAGAAAAGCAGCGAGUGGCCAGAUAAGGAGGAGGCGAGAGAGCGGAGGAAAGUGGAAGUAUAGAGAGAGAGAGAGAGAGAGAGAGAGAGAGAGAGAGAGAGAGAGAGAGAGAGCGAGAGAGAGAGAGCAAGAUAAAGGAAGCGAGAGAGAGGAAGGAGCUGGCAAGGUGCGACUGAUACUGGCAAUUAAAAGCGAAAAGAAAGCUCGCUCGCUCGCGCUUUAUGUUCCCUGGCGUAUCAAAGAGCAGCUUUAUCCACUCUUCGGGAAGAGAGCGAAUCCUCUACUCGUCUCUAUCUCUGGCUCGAGCCAGCGCAAGGAGAGCAAAUAAACGCCAGUGCAGCGCAAAAAGAAGGAGCCGCCCACGAGGCGCGUCCACGUUUUUGCCCGUGCGUUCAGCGAGCGGCUUCUGGGGAGCGCGGACGGAAAUAGUUGCAAUUGAAAUAAGGCGGGGAAACGAGAGCCGUACAGCGCAGCUCCAAAAUUCAUACAGCCCCGCGGCGAAACAUUAGAAUGGAGCCCGCGGAAUAAUAUGGCUUUCGACCCCCGCAGCAGCGGUGCAGUACAGCGCGCUACACAGAGGAUCUGUACACGCGCGUACACAUAGAGAGAGAGAGAGACUAAUGCUACGGUGCCGCUCUCGAUGUUUGAGUAGGUCUGCAGCACGGCUAAGCCGAGUGCGCCCACUCGCUAUUAGUGGAUUAAAUUUUCAA